UACGAAGGGAGCUAGCGUUGUUCGGAAUCACUGGGCGUAAAGCGCACGUAGGCGGAUGUGUCAGUCAGGGGUGAAAUCCCGGAGCUCAACUUCGGAACUGCCUUUGAUACAGCACGUCUUGAGUCCGAUAGAGGUGGGUGGAAUUCCUAGUGUAGAGGUGAAAUUCGUAGAUAUUAGGAAGAACACCGGUGGCGAAGGCGGCCCACUGGAUCGGCACUGACGCUGAGGUGCGAAAGCGUGGGGAGCAAACAGG
rnacentral:rRNA from 1 species